AAUGAACGUUGGCGGCAUGAUUAGGCAUGCAAGUCGAGCGAGAAGUGUAGCAAUACACGGAAAGCGGCGGAAGGGAGAGUAAUACGUGGGAAUCUGCCCUUAGACCUGGGAUAGCAGCGGGAAACUGCUGGUAAUACCAGAUAAUGUCUAUGGACCAAAGGUGUGAUUCCGUCUAGGGAUGAGCCCACGUCCUAUUCGCUAGUUGGUAGGGUAAUGGCCUACCAAGGCGAUGAUGGGUAGCGGGUGUGAGAGCAUGACCCGCCUCACUGGGACUGAGACACUGCCCAGACACCUACGGGUGGCUGCAGUCGAGAAUCUUCGGCAAUGGGCGCAAGCCUGACCGAGCGAUGCCGCGUGCGGGGUGAAGGCCUUCGGGUUGUAAACCGCUGUCGAGGGGGAGCAACUUCCAUAGAGUUAUCUUUAUGGAUUGAGUGAUCCCUGGAGGAAGGACGGGCUAAGUUCGUGCCAGCAGCCGCGGUAACAC
rnacentral:rRNA from 1 species